rnacentral:lncRNA from 1 species
UCUGUGAAUCUGUUUCUGUUCUGUAAAUAGGUUCAUUUGUGCCAUAUUUUAGAUUCCACAUGUAAGUGACAGCAUAUGAUAUUUGUCUUUAUCUUUGACUCACUUCACUUAGUAUGAGAAUCUCUAGUUGUAUCCACGUUGCUGCAAAUAGCAUUACUUCGUUCUUUUUAUGGCUGAGUAAUAGUCCAUUCUGUAGAUGCACCACAUCUUUUUCAUAGAUUCAGGGCAUGUUUGUUGGAACUAACAGUUUGCUGAGGGACUGCAUGUAAAGAAAAAGAAAAGGUAGGAGUUCCUGUUGUGGCUCAGUGGGUUAAGAACUCAACUAGUAUCUAGGAGGACACGGGUUCAAUCCCUGGCCCCACUCAGUGGGUUAAGGAUCCAGGGUUGCUGUGGCUGUGAUAUAGGCCGGUGGCUUCAGCUCCGAUUUGACCCCUAGCCUGGGAAUUUCCCUGUGCUGCAGGUGCAGCCUGAAAAAAAAAAAGAGGGAAAGGUAACUCUGAGGCUAUGUGCCAGCGCCAAAAGGACACUUGUGGUUCCCUCAGAGGAAGAAGACGGGGAGAGCAGGCACAGGAGCUCCUGACCGAAGAGCCCGGUUUUGGCCACGUUCCCUGAGAGACCGAGGUAGGGGAUGCACUCGCUGGGUUCAGGGGCAAAGACUGGGACUAGAGGCCCACUGGGGAGCUGUCUCAGGAAGGGAACAAUGAAGGCGAGAGGUGAGGAGAGCGGGGAGGGAGCGGCCAGUGAGAACCAAGGGCUGUGGGCCUGGGCAGUCAGGAGACAGGACGGCCCGCAGAGACCGGGAGAGGGGCCUGAACACAGGGUGGCCUUUGCAGACUUCAGGAGGUGUUUGGGGACAAGGAAGUGAUGGCCAAGUCCAUGCAGCUGACCGGUUAAAAUAAGAACUGAGCUGCAACCACAGGCUUUGGCAACAGAGAGGCCUGGGGAGCUUGCAGGAGCCAGCGCGCGCCCUCACUGAGAAUACGGCAGGCGGGAGAUCCAGGUUUCACUUGCAAGACUUUGAAGGCUGUGGCUCCGUCUGCAGAUGAGCAGAAUUCCUGAGAGCAAACCUCAGAAUCGGAGCAUCAGGAGCAGUGCUUCUUGAAGUUUAAUGUGCAGCCAACUCCCCUGCAGAUCUUACUAGGUGCAAAUAUGGCUGAGGAGGCCUGGAAUGGAGCCGGAGACCCCGCAUUUCUUUUGCUUUUUAGGGCCACACCCGUGGCAUGUGAAGGGUUCCCAGGCUAGGGGUCCAAUUGGUGCUAUAGCUGCCGGCCUACACCACAGCUGACUGCAAUGCAGGAUCUGAGCCGCAUCUGCGACCGACACCACAGCUCGCGGCAACACCGGAUCCUUAACCUGCUGAGCAAGGCCAGGAAUCGAACCCACCACGUCCUCAUGGAUCCUAGUCGGGUACCUUACCCCUGAGCCACAACAAGAACUCCAGAGAGAGCAUUCCUGAGUGGUGGUGCUGAAGAAAGCCUAACCAGAGCAGGUGCCAGGGCAAGUGGGAGGAGAAGAAGUUGAAAGAAUAGUACAGGGAGUUCUGUCAAAUUUCUAGGGGAGGAGGAGGAGGCCCAUGGGGUCAGGGCAAGGUUUUUAUGUUUGUUUUUGCCACACCCUUGGCAUGUGGAAGUCCCUGGGCCAGGGAUCGAACUCACGCUGCCACCUCAACCUUCGCCACAGCUUCGGCAACACCAGAUCCUUAACCCGCUGCACCACAGGGGACCUUCCCCAAGGGUUUUAUUUUAGAGGAAGCAGAGAGCCCAGCAUGUGUGUCUAUGGAUGAGCAGGAAUGAACCAGAAGAGAAAAGCCGAUGACGGGAUGAGACCAGUACAGAGAGGUGGCUGGAGAGCUGCCUUUGGUGGCUGGUGGGGGUGGACCCGGCACAAGAAGGGAGGUGGAUCCCGGGUCCCAGGAGCAGUUCAUCUGCAAACUAGGAGGCCGUGCAGAGCUUGUGGGCAGCCCCCCAGACCAUGCCCAGGCCCUCCUGGGACUGGGCAGUCAACUCUAGGCCCUGUCUUCCUGAGUUCUACUGGACUUUUCCUUUAAACCGCCCUAGGGUUUGCAAAGUGGACUGUCCCCUACACGUAAGCCUCAUCUGAGUCGCACAGUCACCACGGCUCUCACAAAGCCGAUGCUAUGGAGCAUCCGGAGGUCCCGUGGAACUGGACCCCUUUAUUUAAUGCAUUACUUUUACACCUGCCUACUGGUCAUUCCACUUUUCAUCAGGUGCGAUUUUUCUAUUCUCCCUUAGAAACUUCUGGUCUCUGCACAGUCCUAAAUCUUCAGUGUUUCUGAACACCUCACAGGCUCACACUCUGGCUUUAGAGCACAUAUCCUCUGGGAUUUUUCAAAAGUGCUCGUUCUUUCUCCCUCGCGUGGGCCAUUAGCCGUUUGCGUUCAGCUGCAGGAAUUAUACAGCAAGUGAGCGGCUGAGCUGGGAUUUUCAAAACUGCCCCAACUCGUACUUUCCUUACACAUCCGCUUAUGUAAGUCAAACAAAGCAUUUGACCUUGGGAGGUUUGCAGAGAAGGGUUGUUUUUGUAGAAUUCCUGCCCAGGCUUUGAUCUGGGAUUUGGGGAAUUAGGGCAAGGCAAAAAGUGGUUAAGGUAACUACUAAAGGGAGUUGAUUUAAGCAUUAUGAGCCAAACAUUUGAGGAUUUUCUAAAAACUAAAUGUCAGCAUGAAGCCCUGGCCCCAGCCAGCCCUGGCUGUACCCUGCUCUUCUCUGAGGGACCUACCUUUGUUCCAGUCCUGCUCUCCUUAAGCCUAUUUGCUGUAGUUUUCCAACCCUGCUGGGAAGCAGUGGUUUUUGCUAGUUGUUAGCAGCUUAACAAAGCAGUGGGAAGGCUGUGUAGAUGUAUCAUUAGUAAUAGAAGAAAAAAUUAUUAAUAGUUUGAUGAGAUAAACAUGUUUGCCUAAAAUGAUGCUAUGCAGUAGUAACUCGGGUGUGUCCAGAUGUUUAGUCACAUUGACUCAGCAUAAUUUCUCCCUUGCCAAAUCUCAGACUAGAGCAAUCAAUUCGUUCCUGCAACAGAAUCUGAUAGUAGGCUUUCCUUGUAAGGAAGGCUUGCAGAAAAAGGAAAUAGUUGCAAAAAAGUUGCUAGUUAUGAAAAAGGACCAAGGCUGUCUUGAGGAAAGCAAUUGUGUGUGUAAAGUUCUACCUGUAAAAUCUUUACAAGUGCUGCUUGUUCUCCACAAGUCAUUGAAAGUUAAUUUCAAUUUAGCUUUCCACUUAAAGUCAACCAGACAUCUCUGACCUACAGAUACACCUGGUUUCUGACUUUGCAUGAUGAUGGCCCGCUAAUCUGAUGGGGAAAGGGUGCUGGGAUCGGCCCUAGUAGACUUGAAUUAAAGUUCAGUUCUGCUACUAAUUAGCUGAGAAAGUCAGCUUCCCUGAGCUGAGAUCCUUGUUUCACAUAAGAUAAUACCAACCAUGGUGGAAGUGCCCAUUGUGGAUCAGCAGUAUCCAAGAGGAUGAGGGUUCAGUCCCUGGCCUCACUCAAUGGGUUAAGGAUUCGGCGUUGCUGAGAGCUGUGGUUUAGGUCGCAGAUGCGGCUCGGAUCCCGAGUUGCUGUGGCUGUGGCGUAGGCCAGUGGCUGUAGGUCCAAUUUGACCCCUAGCCUGGGAACUUCCAUAAGCCAUGGGUGCAGCCCUAAAAAGAAAGAAA